rnacentral:tRNA from 1 species
ACUACUUUGGCAGAAAAGUGCUAUGAAUUUAGAAUUCAUGAAUGUAAGGUAUCCUUACAGGUAGUA